GAUGAACGCUGACAGAAUGCUUAACACAUGCAAGUCUACUUGAAUUUGGGUUUUUUAACUUAGAUUUGGGUGGCGGACGGGUGAGUAACGCGUAAAGAACUUGCCUCACAGCUAGGGACAACAUUUGGAAACGAAUGCUAAUACCUGAUAUUAUGAUUUUAAGGCAUCUUAGAAUUAUGAAAGCUAUACGCGCUGUGAGAGAGCUUUGCGUCCCAUUAGCUAGUUGGAGAGGUAACGGCUCACCAAGGCGAUGAUGGGUAGCCGGCCUGAGAGGGUGAACGGCCACAAGGGGACUGAGACACGGCCCUUACUCCUACGGGAGGCAGCAGUGGGGAAUAUUGGACAAUGGACCAAGAGUCUGAUCCAGCAAUUCUGUGUGCACGAUGACGUUUUUCGGAAUGUAAAGUGCUUUCAGUUGGGAAGAAAAAAAUGACGGUACCAACAGAAGAAGUGACGGCUAAAUACGUGCCAGCAGCCGCGGUAAUACGUAUGUCACAAGCGUUAUCCGGAUUUAUUGGGCGUAAAGCGCGUCUAGGUGGUUAUGUAAGUCUGAUGUGAAAAUGCAGGGCUCAACUCUGUAUUGCGUUGGAAACUGUGUAACUAGAGUACUGGAGAGGUAAGCGGAACUACAAGUGUAGAGGUGAAAUUCGUAGAUUUUUGUAGGAAUGCCGAUGGGGAAGCCAGCUUACUGGACAGAUACUGACGCUGAAGCGCGAAAGCGUGGUAGCAAACAGG
rnacentral:rRNA from 1 species